rnacentral:rRNA from 1 species
AUUGAACGCUGGCGGCAGGCCUAACACAUGCAAGUCGAACGGUAACAGAAAGCAGCUUGCUGCUUUGCUGACGAGUGGCGGACGGGUGAGUAAUGUCUGGGAAACUGCCUGAUGGAGGGGGAUAACUACUGGAAACGGUAGCUAAUACCGCAUAACGUCUCAAGCCCAAAGAGGGGGACCUUCGGGCCUCUUGCCAUCGGAUGUGCCCAGAUGGGAUUAGCUAGUAGGUGGGGUAAAGGCUCACCUAGGCGACGAUCCCUAGCUGGUCUGAGAGGAUGACCAGCCACACUGGAACUGAGACACGGUCCAGACUCCUACGGGAGGCAGCAGUGGGGAAUAUUGCACAAUGGGCGCAAGCCUGAUGCAGCCAUGCCGCGUGUAUGAAGAAGGCCUUCGGGUUGUAAAGUACUUUCAGCGGGGAGGAAGGGAGUAAAGUUAAUACCUUUGCUCAUUGACGUUACCCGCAGAAGAAGCACCGGCUAACUCCGUG